GACGAACGCUGGCGGCGUGCCUAAUACAUGCAAGUUGAGCGAUGAAGCUUGGUGCUUGCCCCAAUUUGAAGAGCAGCGAACGGGUGAGUAACGCGUGGGGAAUCUGCCUUUGAGCGGGGGACAACAUUUGGAAACGAAUGCUAAUACCGCAUAACAACUUUAAACAUAAGUUUUAAGUUUGAAAGAUGCAAUUGCAUCACUCAAAGAUGAUCCCGCGUUGUAUUAGCUAGUUGGUGAGGUAAAGGCUCACCAAGGCGAUGAUACAUAGCCGACCUGAGAGGAUGGUCGGCCACAUUGGGACUGAGACACGGCCCAAACUGCUACAGGAGGCAGCAGUAGGGAAUCUUCGGCAAUGGACGAAAGUCUGACCGAGCAACGCCGAGUGAGGGAAGAAGGUUGUCGGAUCGUAAAACUCUGUUGGUAGAGAAGAACGUUGGUGAGAGUGGAAAGCUCAUCAAGUGACGGUAACUACCCAGAAAGGGACGGCUAACUACGUG
rnacentral:rRNA from 1 species